UACAGAGGUCCCAAGCGUUGUUCGGAUUCACUGGGCGUAAAGGGUGCGUAGGCGGUCGGGUAAGUCUGACGUGAAAUCUUCAAGCUCAACUUGGAAACUGCGUCCGAUACUAUUCGGCUAGAGGAAUGGAGGGGAGACUGGAAUUUACGGUGUAGCAGUGAAAUGCGUAGAGAUCGUAAGGAAGACCAGUGGCGAAGGCGGGUCUCUGGACAGUUCCUGACACUGAGGCACGAAGGCCAGGGGAGCAAACGGG
rnacentral:rRNA from 1 species